UACGAAGGGUGCAAACGUUGCUCGGAAUUAUUGGGCGUAAAGGGCUCGUAGGCGGUUUGUCGCGUCGGGAGUGAAAACCUUGGGCUUAACUCAGGGCUUGCUUUCGAUACGGGCAGACUAGAGGUAUGCAGGGGAGAACGGAAUUCCUGGUGUAGCGGUGAAAUGCGCAGAUAUCAGGAGGAACACCGGUGGCGAAGGCGGUUCUCUGGGCAUGAUCUGACGCUGAGGAGCGAAAGUGUGGGGAGCGAACAGG
rnacentral:rRNA from 1 species